UUAUAAAGGUAGACCAUCAGUUAAUGAAGGAGUAUUUGAGCAUCUGCUCCUACUAUUAGCUGUCACCUAUUUUUCUUUAUUCCUAAAAAUGUUUGCGAAUUGGAAACAUUAAAAAGUGAAAUUAAAAAGUAGGGGCAGCUCAGUGGCAGGCAGGCAGCUUCUGGUGUACUGUCCUACUGUUUGUCUCUUUGUUGCUCUGGGAAUUGGGAAGUUUUAAUGAGACCUUUUCUCAAGGAGCUUGCUAUUUUGCUUAUUAUCGUAUUCUCAGCACCAUCUAGUACCUGGCACAUAGUAGGAGCUCAGCGUUUAUUGAAUGAAUAUAUGUACUCUUUCCCCGAAAUCCUCUGCAGAGACCCAAAGGAAGGUUUGUAGAAGGUCAAGAAGCUGUCAGUCUUAAACUUUUGCACAGGCACAUUCUAAGCAUCAGGGGAUUUGGGUUGUGGUGAUGGUAUGUAGAUAUAUUAUGGAUCCAUUAUACACUAUCAUAGGGAAUAAAUAUUUGUUUAUAUGUUGUUUUUUUACUUCUAUAUUUGAAGUAAAUCUUACAACCUAUUUAGAUUGGUAAUGUCACAUUCAGCAUUGUCAUUUGGCCUCAAUUAUAGCAUAGGUGGGGGUUGAUCUAAAAUGAUCAGCCCCCUGCGUCUGUCUCCAGUAAAGGUUGGUGAUGACCUCACCAUGGUAACCCAUGAUUAGAAAGGUCUGAGGAUUACAGUGAAACUGACCAUUCGGAGCAGAAAGGCCCAGAUUGAAUUGUUAUCUUCUGCCUCUGUCCUAAUUAUCAAAGCUGUCAAGGAAUCACCAAGAGACAGAAACAGAAAAACAUUAAGCACGGUGGAAAUACCACUUUUGAUGAGAUUGUUGACAUUGCCUGACAGAUGCAGCACCCAUCUUUAGCCAGAGAACUCUCUGGGACCAUUAAAGAGAUCCUGGGAACUGGCCAAUCUGUGGGCUGCAGUGCUGAUGGCUGGCAGACUCAUGACAUCAUAGAUGAUAUCAAUAGCGGUACAGUGGAAUGCCAGCUAGUUAAGAACUACAAAGAAAUAUAUUUCAAUAAAGGAUCAUUUGACAAC